ACAUUUGUUGUGAAUACAAUGUGAAAGCAAUUAUAAAAGGAAUGUGUUUUUUGACAUUUGGCAUUUACCAUACCAAAAAAAGGGUAAUCAAUUUGUAGGAAAGCAAAUUUUAGAAUGUGUUCUACACUUAAAUUCAAUUCUUUUGAUAAGAAUAAAUAUGCUAACCUAAAUGGCUGGGAAUGGUCUCAUAUAUAACUUUGUGGAUAAAUCUAUGAAUAAAGGUCCUAGUGCGAUAUAACUCACAUUCCUUUAGAUGUACUCUCAACUAAAUAAAUUUUGUCUACGAGUAGCACAUCCGGCGGAAAUGGCGACAAUGAGGGUGACGGUUGCAAGCGUGGACUAGCAGAUAUUGAUGGCGACGGACUGGGCGUUAAAAACGGACCCGGAGGAGACAAUAUUCCUGCGAAAAAGAGGAUAAAUUUGUUAAAACUGUCAAAUAUCGUUAAAAAAAUUAUAAGUAUAUAUGCAUAUAUAAAUAUAAAUUUGUCUUAGUAGAAUAACAAUUGAACAUUUGUUCGAGCUCAAAAACUUCAAAUUUUAUUACCAAAUAUAUUAGUGAAAUCCAUUUCAGUUUAAUGCUUUAACUUUAAAUUUAAAUGUAACUUUUGUCAAUGCCACAAAGUGCAACACUAACCAAGAGGGUAUAAACGUCCUCAUUUCAAAAGCUUCAAUCGAUUGAUUGUCAACGAAUUAUUAUAAAACGAGAUAUGUAUAUCAAUAAAUCUUUUAAAAUAAUGUUUAGUGUA